rnacentral:misc_RNA from 1 species
AACGCACCUUGCGCCCUUUGGCUAUUCCGAAGGGCAUGCCUGUUUGAGUAUCGUGAACACCUCAACUCUCAUGGUCCGCCAUGAUGAGCUUGGACUUUGGGGGUAUUGCUGGCCUAACCGUCGGCUCCUCUCAAACGAAUCAGCUUGCCAGUGUUUGGUGGCGUCAUGGGUGUGAUAACUAUCUACGCUCGUGGUCUUCCACCAAGUAACCUUCAGUGAUGGAGGUUCGCUGGAGCUCACAGACGUCUCUCCUCAGGGAAGACAGCUUUUUGAACGUUUGAUCUCAAAUCAGGUAGGACUACCCGCUGAACUUAA